CAGAUUUGAACUCUGAUUGUAGAAGCCAUUUAACAGUUUGACUUUUAGGUAUGUGUUCUUGCCCUUCAGGUUCAGGGCCUGUGUCAGUAAGCCUGGGCCCGGGGUGCCAAGCAUUUGUGGACUCUCGAAUCAAGGUUUGGGAAUGGGAACCAGGUGUGCCCGACUCUGCCAGGUGGCUGUGGUGGCCUUCCUGGGAUCAACUCAACUCAGCCAAGGCUCUUGGGUGGCACGGGAGAGCAGGUGUUAUAAAUCGUGCUUCUGUGAAGAAGGCUGUGC
rnacentral:lncRNA from 1 species